rnacentral:lncRNA from 1 species
AGGUGAUAGUAUUUGCUCCCUUCAAAAGUUUCCCUGACCACAAGAGAAAAAAUAUAGGUGUGGAUAAACUGUUUAAGUAAAUAGAUAUAGAUGUAAUAGGUAGAGAAACAAUUUCCCAUUUCUGUUCUGUUUCUAGUUUAUGAUAUGUUUAGAUUGCUGAUAAAAUGUAGUUCAAAGACAAUUGAACUAAAAUAAAAGUGGCAGCAGCCAUUUCUUUGUAGCACAUCACGUGUUUAAGGAAUUAUCCCAUUUGCUGGCUUUCUCUAGAUAAGCCACAGUUCUGGUGACGUUACCACUUAUUAGCUCUAUGACACUGAACAAUUUCUGUUGCCUCAUUUGUAAAAUACGGAUAAUAACUGUGACAUUUAAGUUAGAUAAUACAUAUAAAUUGUUCUUCACAGUGCCUGGUGCAUAGCUACAUACCAAAUAAAAAGAUCCCCUAUUAGUAGUCACUCAAGAAACAUUUAUUGAACAUUCAUAUACAGUAGGCAUGAAGGUCAAUGUUGGAGAUUUGAAGUCCAUUUGAAGUUACCGAAAGUUAAUUUUUGUUACUUGCAACCAAAAAUCGUAGCAAAUAUUACUGUCUUCCUUUUGACUGGGUAACAUAAAACUGAGAUAGUUCAUGGUGUCUUUGCUGUAAUCUGAAACUGAGGAGAGAUGUCUUCUCUCCCCCAGGAAAAAUGUAGGCCUGGAGAAGAAGCACUUGGCUUGCUGCAGAAAACAUUUGAAUGGUUGUAGAAGACACUUGUGGUUCAUAGUAGGAAGGGACUAACCUUGUCUCAGAUGAGACUUUGACAUUUGGACUUUCGAGUUAAUGCUGAAAUGAGAUAAGACUCUGGGCGACUGUUGGGAAUGCAUGAUAGUGUUUUGAAAUGUGAGAAGAACACGAGAUUUGGGAGGAGAAGAGGGUAGAAUGAUAUGGUUUGGAGACAUGCUCCGAUGCAAAUUUCAUGUCAAAUUGUAAUCCCCAAUGUUGGAGGUAGGGGCUUGUGAGGCGGACUGGAUCAUAGAAGCAGUUUCUCGUGGUUUAACACCAUCUGCCUUGGUGCUUUUGUUGCAAUAGUGAGUUCUUAUUAGAUCUGGUUGUUUAAAAGUAUAGCACUUCCCCCGUCUCUUGUUGCUGUUCAGGCCAUGUAAGAUGUGGUUGCUUCCCCUUAGCCUUCUGCCAUAAUUUUAAGUUUCCUGAGGCCUCCCCAGAAGCCCAGCAGAUGCCAACAUCAGGCUUCCUGUACAGCUUGCAGAAAUGUGAGCCAAUCACACCUCUUUUCUUUAUAAAUCACCUGGUCUCAGGCAUUUCUUUAUAGCAAUGUGAGAACUGAUUAUUAUAGCAUGUUACUGUACUGAAUACUGUAGGCAAUUAUAACACAAUAGUAAGUAUUUGCAUAUCUAAACAUAGAAGAGGUAUGGUAAAAAUAUAAUAUUAUAAUGUCACGGGACUACUACCAUUGUAUAUGUAUUCUGCCAUUGACCUAAAGGUCAUUAUGUGGCAUAUGACUGUAUAUAGUACAGCACUAUCUUGACUUAAAACUACAUGCCACACUGCUUAUAGCUCAAGCUGAACACUGACUUUAGUGAAAAUUUCUGAAAUGCUCUCAAUUAUGAAACUGGUAUUUCAUAGCACUAUUUAUUACAGAUAUAUUUAAAUAUCUGGGGUAUAAUAAUCUUUUACUUACAACUUUUAUUUCAAAAGUGACCUUUUAUUAUUUUAUAGCUAAUUAAGAAGGCAGCUGUGCUAUAAUGAAAGUGUCCUAAAAUAGAAACCUAAAAUUCUGUUUCUUAUUCUCAUUUUUGCCAUAAACUAAGUGAGUGUAUGGUCCUGGGUACCUCAGUUCUCUUCUCUGAGUCUCAUUAGUGAAAUGAGGGAACUGGAUUCACUAAAUCUCAGGAUUAUUUUUUCGGUGAAACUCUGCAAGUACUGACAGCAAAUGCAAAUGUUUCAAGAACAUUUGAACAAUUGUGUGGAUUCACACAGUUACUUCUAAUAAGAUCCAUUACUUUUCUCUGUCUUGUCAAAUACAAGGGAAAAGGUUUUAGGAUUAGUUAUAUUCAGAGGACACAUGUAGUCCCCAAGUUAGAAAUUUUAUGAUAAUUAUUUUAAAGUAAUUUUUUUAAAAAAAUGAAACCAUAAAUGUCUAUCGUAGAAUAUAGAAAAAUGAUAAACAGUAUAUAAGAAUAUUUAAUAAAAAUGAAUAGAAUUGGC